UGUUGGACUUGCCGAACAUCUUGAUCUGGUGUGCC
rnacentral:sRNA from 1 species